GGUUCUAUAGUAUAGUGGUCAUUACAUGGCAUUGUGGCUGCCAAAACGUGUGUUCGAUUCACACUAGAACCA